CUGAAGUUGAAAGGCGCUUUUGGUGCCGUUGAUGGAUGGGCCUGCGGCGCAUUAGCUGGUUGGUGGGGUAACGGCUCACCAAGGCGACGAUGCGUAGCCGACCUGAGAGGGUGAUCGGCCACACUGGGACUGAGACACGGCCCAGACUCCUACGGGAGGCAGCAGUAGGGAAUCUUCCGCAAUGGACGCAAGUCUGACGGAGCAACGCCGCGUGAGUGAAGAAGGGUUUCGGCUCGUAAAACUCUGUUGUUAAGGAAGAAUGUCAGUGAGAGUAACUGCUCAUUGAGUGACGGUACUUAACCAGAAAGCCACGGCUAACUACGUGCCAGCAGCCGCGGUAAUACGUAGGUGGCAAGCGUUAUCCGGAAUUAUUGGGCGUAAAGCGCGCGUAGGCGGUUUCUUAAGUCUGAUGUGAAAGCCCCCGGCUCAACCGGGGAGGGUCAUUGGAAACUGUUUCGCUUGAGUGCAGAAGAGGAGAGUGGAAUUCCAUGUGUAGCGGUGAAAUGCGCAGAGAUAUGGAGGAACACCAGUGGCGAAGGCGGCUCUCUGGUCUGCAACUGACGCUGAUGUGCGAAAGCGUGGGGAUCAAACAGGAUUAGAUACCCUGGUAGUCCACGCCGUAAACGAUGAGUGCUAAGUGUUAGGGGGUUUCCGCCCCUUAGUGCUGCAGCAAACGCA
rnacentral:rRNA from 1 species